rnacentral:lncRNA from 1 species
AGUGAGAAGAAAGAUUUGUUGAUAUUUGGUCUCAAAUGGGAUAAGAACCCAAAACCAUUGCUUUGAGGUAGUGAAUAGCUUAUAUAAAGUUAUUUUGGGUUAGAAUAUGUUAUAAUACAAUGAAUUUGAUUGAUUACAAGUGCUAGAGAUGCAUGAAGAAUGUUUAAAAGUGAGAAGAAAGAUUUGUUGAUAUUUGGUCCUAAAUGGGAUAAGAAACCAAAAUCAUUGCUUUAAGGCAGUGAAUGGCUUGUAUAAAGUUAUUUUGGGUUAGAGUAUGUUAUAAUACAAUGAAUUUGAUGGAUUACAAGUGCUAGAGAUGCAUGAAGAAUGUUUAAAAGUGAGAAGAAUGACAUGUUGAUAUUUGGUC